rnacentral:misc_RNA from 1 species
AACGCACAUUGCGCCCCCUGGUAUUCCGGGGGGCAUGCCUGUCCGAGCGUCAUUGCAACCCUCAAGCGCGGCUUGUGUGUUGGGCCGUAUUGUCCCCCGACUCUGGGGGGACAGGCCCCAAAUGCAGUGGCGGCGUCCCCUGGAGGCCCGAGCGUAUGGGAAAUCAUGCCCGCUUGAAGGCCCUCGGGAGACGCUUGCCCGUCAACUCAUUCUUUCCGGUUGACCUCGGAUCAGGUAGGAUUACCCGCUGAACUUAA